rnacentral:rRNA from 1 species
GAUGAACGCUAGCGGCAGGCUUAACACAUGCAAGUCGAACGGCAGCACAGGUAGCAAUACUGGGUGGCGAGUGGCGCACGGGUGCGUAACGCGUAUGCAACCUACCUCUAUCUGGGAGAUAGCCCGAAGAAAUUCGGAUUAAUACCCCAUAAUAUAUGUCUUUCGCAUGUUAGACAUAUUAAAGCUUUGGCGGAUAGAGAUGGGCAUGCGUGACAUUAGCUAGUUGGUAAGGUAACGGCUUACCAAGGCUACGAUGUCUAGGGGGUCUGAGAGGAUUAUCCCCCACACUGGUACUGAGACACGGACCAGACUCCUACGGGAGGCAGCAGUGAGGAAUAUUGGACAAUGGGCGAAAGCCUGAUCCAGCCAUGCCGCGUGCAGGAAGACGGCCCUAUGGGUUGUAAACUGCUUUUAUAUGGGAAUAAACCUCCGAACGUGUUCGGAGCUGAAGGUACCAUACGAAUAAGG